rnacentral:rRNA from 1 species
GACAGAGGGUGCAAACGUUGCUCGGAAUUACUGGGCGUAAAGCGCGUGUAGGCGGGUCGGAAAGUCGGGCGUGAAAUCCCUGGGCUCAACCCAGGAACUGCACUCGAAACUUCCGGUCUUGAGUGGUGGAGAGGGUAGUGGAAUUCCUGGUGUAGAGGUGAAAUUCGUAGAUAUCAGGAGGAACACCGGUGGCGAAGGCGGCUACCUGGACACCAACUGACGCUGAGACGCGAAAGCGUGGGGAGCAAACAGG